AGAAGCAGCCAUUCAUUCAAAGAGUGCGUAAUAGCUCACUGGUCGAGUGAAGUUGCGCGGAAAAUUACCGGGGCUAAGCUAUACACCGAAAUUGCGGAUUUACAUUUGAAAGAUAAUGUAAGUGGUAGAGGAGCAUUCUGUAGUAGGAAGAAGCAUGACCGUAAGGACAUGUGGACGAAGCAGAAGAGAGAAUGCUGGAAUAAGUAGCGAGAGGAUGGUGAGAAUCCAUCCCGUCGAAAAUCUAAGGUUUCCCAGGGAAGGUUCGUCCGCCUGGGGUAAGUCGGGACCUAAGGAGAGGCCGAAAGGCGUAUCUGAUGGAUAGCAGGUUGAAAUUCCUGCACUACGAAUAUACUUAAAAGAUUCAAGGGACGCAGAAGUGGAAGAUAACCAAGUAAGAGGAAAAGCUUGGCUCGCAAGAGGGAGUGAAAAUUAAAAGUAACGAAGUAUCAAGAAGCACGCUGACGAGAAAAGCUUGAAGAUAUUGUAUAUAAGUACCCGUACCGCAAACCGACACAGGUAGAUGAGGAGAGGAUCCUAAGACGAGCGGGAGAAGCAUUGUUAAGGAACUCGGCAAAUUAACCCCGUAACUUCGGAAUAAGGGGUGCUGAUGUAACAGUCAGUCGCAGAGAAAAGGCCCAAGCAACUGUUUAACAAAAACAUAGGUUUCUGCUAAAUCGAAAGAUGAAGUAUAGGAGCUGACGCCUGCCCAGUGCUGGAAGGUUAAGGGAAAGAGUUAGGGUUAAACCGAAGCUUAGAACUGAAGCCCCAGUGAACGGCGGCCGUAACUAUAACGGUCCUAAGGUAGCGAAAUUCCUUGUCAGGUAAGUUCUGACCCGCACGAAAGGCGUAAUGAUUUGGGCGCUGUCUCGACAAUGUCCCCGGCGAAAUUGUAGUACUAGUGAAGAUGCUAGUUACCUGCGAUAAGACAGAAAGACCCCAUGGAGCUUUACUGCAGUUUGAUACUGGGUUUCGAUGAUUUAUGUACAGGAUAGUUGGGAGACUAUGAAAGAGAGGCGUCAGCUUCUCCGGAGUCAUUGUUGGGAUACCAACCUUAAGUUAUUGAAAUUCUAACUUGUAAUCGUAAACCGGUUAGAGGACAAUGUCAGACGGGCAGUUUGACUGGGGCGGUCGCCUCCUAAAGAGUAACGGAGGCGCCCAAAGGUUUCCUCAGCGCGGACAGAAAUCGCGCGAAAGAGUGCAAAGGCAGAAGGAAGCUUAACUGAGAGACAGACAUGUCGACCAGAUACGAAAGUAGGGCUUAGUGAUCCGGUGGUUGUAAAUGGAAAUGCCAUCGCUCAACGGACAAAAGUUACCCUGGGGAUAACAGGCUUAUCUCCCCCAAGAGUUCACAUCGACGGGGAGGUUUGGCACCUCGAUGUCGGCUCAUC
rnacentral:rRNA from 1 species